rnacentral:rRNA from 1 species
CCCUUAGAUGUUCUGGGCCGCACGCGCGCUACACUGAUCGGUGCAACAAGCAUCCGUCCUUGGCCGACAGGCCCGGGCAAUCUUUGAACGCCGGUCGUGAUGGGGAUAGACCUUUGCAAUUUUUGGUCUUCAACGAGGAAUUCCUAGUAAACGCAAGUCAUCAACUUGCAUUGAUUACGUCCCUGCCCUUUGUACACACCGCCCGUCGCACCUACCGAUUGAAUGGUCCGGUGAAACCUCCGGAUUGGCGCGUGCCCUCGGGCGCCGCCGAGAAGUUGGUUAAACCUUACCAUUUAGAGGAAGGAGAAGUCGUAACA